rnacentral:rRNA from 1 species
AUGGAGAACCACCGUGACGACGGCUUCGCUUCCAGCGCUGCUUCCCUCGAGGGGAUUAGGGGGCUCGCCGCGGGUGAAGACCCCAUCCACGUCGAAACCAUGACCCCGACACAAACAUAUCAAGAGUGGCUUGCCCCAUCACGUGCACGCGCUGGCGCCCGGAGCCCAGGACUCCGGCUGAAGAACAGGAAACUUCAAAGGAGCAUGUUAUCUGGCGACGAGAGCAUGGAGAUGAUGAUGAGAGGGGUCAACGGAGACCCGUGCGAUUUCCUGACCAAGCCCCCGGGCAACGACGGGAUGCACAACAUCCGCCGUCCUGUCAAGGAGCGAAGCCUCAACGCUGCCGUCAACGCCGCCCCCGCAAACACCGAUCCUCGCUCCAGCCAGGAUGGCAAAUCGAGGAAGAGGCCAACGGAAGUGGACCACUCCGACGCGGGGGGCUUCGGUAGCAGGACUGCCAAGAAGAUCACUGCAGAGAAGCAUGCAUUACUUCACAAAGUGGCCAACAACCGGAUCAUUGGAACAGAAGGGCAUGUUUGA